CAGUAAAGCAUAUUUAGUGUAAUGCUUUGGGGGCACCAUUAGGGGGAGUGUGUAGGAAGACCUGUGCUUCUGGCAGUGACAUCACAGGCCAGCCUACUUACACUGAAUAAAAACCCAGAUGUGAGGAGAAGCUAGCUCUCUGUUUGCCUGUACCUGACUGAUCAUGUAGUACCAGCUCUGACUUAGCCCCAGCCAUUUGGCUGGGGCCUUGUAAGUAAUAUGUUUGUAUUGUAACAGUUAGCAAUUGUAAUAGCCUUUUGUAUAAUAUUUAGCAACCAAUAGUGUUUUGUGUAGUAUUGUAUUGUAUAAUUAUUGAAAUUGACAUUCCGCUAG